CUCACGUGAUCAUCCCAUCUCGGCCUCCCAAAGUGAUGGGAUUACAGUUUGUAGCAGUGAAGGAUACCAUGACUGCCAGUAUAGUCCGGCGCCAGCAAUUUUAACCAGACGUCAACACAGAGAAGAAGGCAAGUAACAUCUUGGUAUUAUUAUGAAAAUAGUUUUGAGCUUGCAGACACCUGUGAUAGGGUCUUGGGGAUCUCUGGGGAUUGCAGACCUCUCUUGGAGAAUCAGUGCUUUAGGAGAUGGCGGACAUUCUACUACUUGUAGUGUUUACAGGUAAAUGUGCUCUAUGCUAAGAUGUAUAUGUACCGGGUCUUCAUGCACAAUUGUAAUCACCACUGUUUAGUGCAUAAACUAGAAAACAUGUCAUUAGGUAUCAGCCUAUUCUUGUAGAUGGACUAGAUAUGAGACAGGCAUUUCAUUUAAGGGAUAUAUUUUUACGCUUUUAUUUGUCCCACUUGUCACAGGUAUAUGGAUGGUGAGGAAGCUAGGCUGUAAGCCAUUUCUGAAACUAUCAGUGUGGAAUAACUAAGGUACAUAGGGAAGCCAACACUUACACCCCUUCCUUUGUAACUCUUCUACCGCCUUGAUCCAGUGAGCCCGGAAAGUUCAGUGGCCUGAGGAAAACAUCCUUUUUAGAGGAGCAGGGUUCCCUCAACUCCAGUCUAGAAGUGAGCAAAGUUCUCAUGUUGGCAGUACCUGCAGUAUAGGACAAGAGAAGCAGCUGGCCCAGAAGGCUGCGUUUGUUCAAAUGGUCAUGGCACCUGUGAGCACUGUAUUGCCGUGAAAGAGCUCAAGUCAUUGCCUCUGCUAAAGUGCCUCCAAAUUCCUACACAGUGGACUUAGAGCAAGACAGGGCGGUGGCAUGAUUGUUUUCCAUUCUUGUUCAGUUGGGCUUACACAUCCUCUCACUCCCGACAGGCAGAAUAGGCUUGCGCCCACACCUGACUGGGCUCAGCUCUUCAGCGAGGGAUUGCGUAGUUGCUCCGCCUGUGACUGCUGGCCCCGGUCUGCAGGCGGGAAACAACAGGCAGUUGUGUCCUGAGCCCUGGGAACUGGAGAUCUUUCCACAUCUGUUUGCCUAGUCGGGGGCGGGAGGAAAUCACCAGAACCUUCAAACAUGGGGCCAGGGCAGGGAGACAAAGGGGAAGCCUUAAGCCGAUGGCGACCCCGGGUCAUAUGAGCACCCCCCCCAGGCUUCCCCCAUCCCCUUUCAUCCCCUCAGGUCCCCAACACUCAGCCUUUUCAUCCUUCUCCAGGUCAGCAGGAUCAGGUUAAUGUGAGUUGACCAGAAAGCUUAUCAAAUGAAGGCAGAGGCAGGUGUUUGAAGCCCCUUCCCUGCUGAAAGCUGGGUUGAACAAGGUUAGCAGUGUAACUCAGGCCAACAUCCUACAAGAAUUGCAUUUUCUUUCCUGGAGCUCCUCUUCCCCCUUCCUCGGUCUCUGGGAGCCAGUAACCAAAACAAACCAUUCAAAAAAUGAAGGAUUUAGGGGAAAAACUUCGGAGAUGUGACAUUCUGGACUGGACAGCGGCCUUUCUAUGCCAGAGCCUAGGAACUAGCAUUUGAAGGCAUCUGGCCACUUCCACUCAGUGGGUGUGCUGAAAUCAGUUACUAUGGGCUUAUCAGAAGUGAUUGCACAAACCUUUUCCCAACUUCACAAUCAUGAUGUCCUAUUUGUAGCUUGAGUCGACCAAGGUGGGAAUAUUUAUACCACAGAAACCAGCAAGCUAUAAACCAGGCGUUUCCACCUCCAGAGCCAGUUGUUAAACAUUUAUGGGCACACCGAUGCCUCCACUGUAGCUAUUGUCACUCAAAGUAUGAUUCUCAGACCAAUUACCUAGGAAUUUCCUAGAUAUCAGAAAUAAGGUGGGGCGGCAGGGUUGUUAUUUAACAUGCAGAUUUCCUGGCCAAUCUGAAUGAACUGAAUCAGAUUCUCUGGAGGUAGAGCCUGGGGAAAUGCUUUUUAGCAAGUCCCUAAGGUUAUUAAUAAAUUCAAUAAAGUUUGAGACUUUCGGCCUUAGGGAGUAGGAGAAAAGAGUGGGUGUGCAUCUGACUCUUGGCAUCUGGAAGGAACAGCCGGCUUCAGUCCCAGCUGGCCUGAGAAUGGACAGCUGUUUUCCCUCGAGAUAUAAACUUCGUGACAGGAAAAAGAGGUGGGAAUUCUGGGGUCUCAGCUACCCACUGACAACAUGACUGGUCCUGCCUUGGAACUCAGGAUGAAUCCAUUUUCCAACUUGAGACUUUGACCCAAGGCAGCAUGAGCAAAUGUCCAGAUGUAUGUACAACAUGGAGAAAGUCACCAUCAUUUGUACCAUUGGUGGGGCCAGUGGAGCCCAGGGAAAGACCAGAGUCCGUUUUCCAUAUUAGAUUGCCCAGGACAGUGUUUUUCUUGCAGAUUUGUCUAGACAUUAUCAGCUUUCACAACCAGGCAUGAUUCUGUAAAACAAACACUUUGUUGACUUCAUCCCUCUGAACUGGAAGGGAAGGUCUUUUAAGGCAGAAAGAAAAAGAGAAGAAAAGGAGAAGAGAGAAAGUUUCUUUGCCUAGAUGUAAAACAGAAAGCUCAUAAGGAGCUUAACUCUGCUUUUGACUGGUUUUGCACCUGCCUGAGGGAGUGGUUUAGACUGGGACAGGUAGUGUGAAAACAGAGCUAGUAAGUGCAAGAGCUGGGGUUUGGACCCCAAUUUUUAUGGCCAAAAAAAAA